CUUGAAACACGGACCAAGGAGUCUAACAUGUGCGCGAGUCAUUGGGAUCUGUUAAGCCUAAAGGCGCAAUGAAAGUGAAGGUAGGCCUUGCGCCAACCGAGGGAGGAUGGGCCGCGUCACGAUGCGGUCCCGCACUCCCGGGGCGUCUCGUUCUCAUUGCGAGAAGAGGCGCACCCAGAGCGUACACGUUGGGACCCGAAAGAUGGUGAACUAUGCCUGGUCAGGACGAAGUCAGGGGAAACCCUGAUGGAGGUCCGUAGCGAUUCUGACGUGCAAAUCGAUCGUCGGAACUGGGUAUAGGGGCGAAAGACUAAUCGAACCAUCUAGUAGCUGGUUCCCUCCGAAGUUUCCCUCAGGAUAGCUGGCACUCGCGUGUUCUAAGAACUUAUGCGAGUCUCAUCUGGUAAAGCGAAUGAUUAGAGGCCUUGGGGCCGAAACGACCUCAACCUAUUCUCAAACUUUAAAUGGGUGAGAUCUCUGGCUUGCUUGAACUGUGAAGCCACGAGAUUUCGGAUCAGAGUGCCAAGUGGGCCAAUUUUGGUAAGCAGAACUGGCGC
rnacentral:rRNA from 1 species